rnacentral:ncRNA from 1 species
CCCACUGAAUUUAAGCAUAUUAGUCAGUGGAGGAAAAUAAACUAACCAGGAUUCCCUCAGUAAAGGUUAUUGAACAGAUAAGAGCCCAGAACCAAAUCCCCACCCUGUGGUGGGGUGCAGGAAAUGUGACUUAUGGAAGACCCUAUCCCUGGCGCCUCUCAUGGGAAGCCCAAGUCCUUCUGAUUGAGGCCCCUCCCAUGGAUGGUGUGAGGCUGGUAGUGGCCUCCAGCGUGCUGGGGCCUGGGUAUUCCCAGAGUCAGUUGCUUGGGAAUGCAGCCCAAAGUGGUUGGUAAAUUCCAUCUAAAGCUAAAUACCAGCACGAGACAGAUAGUUAACAAGUACCAUAAGUCAAAGUUGAAAAGAACUUUGAAGAAAGACUUCAAGAGGGUGUGAAGCCAUCAUUAAGAGGUAAAGGGGUGGGGUCCAUGCAGUCUGCCCUGAGGAUUCAACCUGGUGAAGCGUGGCUAGCCAUGCCAGUCAUCCACUGGAUCUUUCCCACUCCCCAUUCCUCCCGACCUCAUCCUCAU